rnacentral:rRNA from 1 species
CUACACAUGCAAGUCGAGCGAGACCUUCGGGUCUAGCGGCGGACGGGUUAGUACCCGUGGGAACGUACCCUUUUCUACGGAAUAGCCUUUGGAAACGAAGAGUAAUACCGUAUACGCCCUUUGGGGGAAAGAUUUAUCGGAGAAGGAUCGGCCCGCGUUAGAUUAGAUAGUUGGUGGGGUAAUGGCCUACCAAGUCUACGAUCUAUAGCUGGUUUUAGAGGAUGAUCAGCAACACUGGGACUGAGACACGGCCCAGACUCCUACGGGAGGCAGCAGUGGGGAAUCUUAGACAAUGGGCGCAAGCCUGAUCUAGCCAUGCCGCGUGAGUGAAGAAGGCCUUAGGGUCGUAAAGCUCUUUCGCCAGGGAUGAUAAUGACAGUACCUGGUAAAGAAACCCCGGCUAACUCCGUGCCAGCAGCCGCGGUAAUACGGAGGGGGUUAGCGUUGUUCGGAAUUACUGGGCGUAAAGCGCACGUAGGCGGAUUAGAAAGUUAGAGGUGAAAUCCCAGGGCUCAACCCUGGAACUGCCUUUAAAACUCCUAGUCUUGAGUUCGAGAGAGGUGAGUGGAAUUCCAAGUGUAGAGGUGAAAUUCGUAGAUA